CAUCCCUGACAAUGGGCAAAGAGGCACCUUGUUGUUGGUGUUGCUCUUGUAUCAGUCAGGGGCAGAGCAGAUGGCAGUCCAUUGUUCAUCCUAGCUUAACACUUAGCUUAAUGGCCAAAGCUAUCUUAUACCUAGGAUUCAUUA